GAUGAACGCUGGCGGCGUGCCUAAUACAUGCAAGUCGAGCGAACAGACGAGGAGCUUGCUCCUCUGACGUUAGCGGCGGACGGGUGAGUAACACGUGGAUAACCUACCUAUAAGACUGGGAUAACUUCGGGAAACCGGAGCUAAUACCGGAUAAUAUAUUGAACCGCAUGGUUCAAUAGUGAAAGACGGUUUUGCUGUCACUUAUAGAUGGAUCCGCGCCGCAUUAGCUAGUUGGUAAGGUAACGGCUUACCAAGGCGACGAUGCGUAGCCGACCUGAGAAGGUGAUCGGCCACACUGGAACUGAGACACGGUCCAGACUCCUACGGGAGGCAGCAGUAGGGAAUCUUCCGCAAUGGGCGAAAGCCUGACGGAGCAACGCCGCGUGAGUGAUGAAGGUCUCCGGAUCGUAAAACUCUGUUAUUAGGGAAGAACAAAUGUGUAAGUAACUAUGCACGUCUUGACGGUACCUAAUCAGAAAGCCACGGCUAACUACGUG
rnacentral:rRNA from 1 species